rnacentral:rRNA from 1 species
UACGGGGGGGGCAAGCGUUGUUCGGAAUUACUGGGCGUAAAGGGCGCGUAGGCGGUUCGCUAAGUCGGAUGUGAAAACUCUGGGCUCAACCCAGAGCCUGCAUCCGAAACUGGCGGGCUAGAGUUCUGGAGGGGGUAGCGGAAUUCCUGGUGUAGCGGUGAAAUGCGUAGAUAUCAGGAGGAACACCGGUGGCGAAGGCAGCUCGCUGGGACGUGACUGACGCUGAGACGCGAAAGCGUGGGGAGCAAACAGG